GUGCCAGCAGCAGCGGUAAUACGAAGGGUGCAAGCGUUACUUGGAAUUACUGGGCGUAAAGCGUGCGUAGGUGGUGGUUUAAGUCUGUUGUGAAAGCCCUGGGCUCAACCUGGGAAUUGCAGUGGAUACUGGAUCACUAGAGUGUGGUAGAGGGUAGCGGAAUUCCCGGUGUAGCAGUGAAAUGCGUAGAGAUCGGGAGGAACAUCUGUGGCGAAGGCGGCUACCUGGACCAACACUGACACUGAGGCACGAAAGCGUGGGAGCAAACG
rnacentral:rRNA from 1 species